AGGAUUAACGCUGGCGGCGUGCCUAACACAUGCAAGUCGAACGAGGUAGCAAUACCUAGUGGCAGACGGGUGAGUAACGCGUGGUCAACCUACCGUUGAGUGGGGGAUAACUAGCCGAAAGGUUAGCUAAUACCGCAUACGAGUCUCGGGGGCAUCCCUGGGCCUUAAAAGGAGCAAUCCGCUCGAUGACGGGACCGCGUCCCAUUAGCUAGAUGGUGGGGUAACGGCCUACCAUGGCACCGAUGGGUAGCUGGUUUGAGAGAGCGACCAGCCACACUGGGACUGAGACACGGUCCAGACUCCUACGGGAGGCAGCAGUGGGGAAUAUUGGACAAUGGGCGCAAGCCUGAUCCAGCCAUGCCGCGUGGGUGAAGAAGGCCUUCGGGUUGUAAAGCCCUUUGUUGGGAAGAAUUGUACGGUUGAAUAUUCCGUGCGGAUGACGGUACCAAAGAAUAAGCACCGGCUAACUUCGUGCCAGCAGCCGC
rnacentral:rRNA from 1 species